ensembl:lncRNA
UCACCACCUAUCAACAGAUUAAUCGAAGAUUCAUGAUUUAUGAACAAAAACAAAAUGUCUGUAAAAACCUUCAGAAGACUGAAUAAUACUGAAUAAAACUGGACAAUUGGUGAAUGAAGGUGAAUGUUAUAGAUAAUCGCUGAAACUGCCAGGUGAUGGAUGAUUUAAGGUGGUAAAGGUGAUCAAACUGCCAGGUGAGGGAUGAUUUAAGGUGGUAAAGGUGGUCAAACUGCCACGGGAGGGAUGAUUUAAGGUGGUAAUGGUGGUGAAACUGCCAGGUGAUGGAUGAUUUAAGGUGGUAAAAGUGGUGAAACUGCCAGGUGAGGGAUGAUGUAAGAUGGUAAAGGUGGCUAAACUGCCACAGGAGGGAUGAUUUAAGGUGGUAAUGGUGGUGAAACUGCCGGGUGAGGGAUGAUUUAAGGCGGUAAAGGUGGUGUAAGUGCCAGGUGAGGAAUCAUUUAAGGUGGUGAUGGUGGUGAAACUGCCAGGUGAGGGAUGAUUUAAGGUGGUAAAGGUGGUGGAGGUGAUGGAUGAUUUAAGGUAGUAAAGGUGAUCAAACUGCCAGGUGAGGGAUGAUUUAAGGUGGUAAUGGUGGUGAAACUGCUGGGUGAGGGCUGAUUUAAGGUGGUAAUGGUGGUGAAACUGCUGGGUGAGGGCUGAUUUAAGGUGGUAAUGGUGGUGAAACUGCUGGGUGAGGGCUGAUUUAAGGUGGUAAUGGUGGUGAAACUGCUGGGUGAG